rfam:Triticum aestivum genome assembly, contig: Triticum_aestivum_CS42_TGACv1_scaffold_000885_1AL
CAUCUACUCCUUCCGUUCGAAAUUACUUGUCACAGAAAUGGAUGUAUCUACAUCUAGAUACAUCCAUUUCUGUGACAAGUAAUUUCGAACGAAGGGAGUAGCAG